GCACAUACAUCGUGAGCUGUGAACUCAGAUUGUACGACGAAGCCCGCACAGUGUAUGCCCGGCUAAAGACUCCUGGAUAGAUGUUGAAAUGUCUUCAAAUAACUUAGUGAAAGCCAGGUUGCUGUCUGAUUUAAGCUUGCUUUGUAAUUCAGCACUUAGCUUUACUCAUUAACAGCUACCCAAUCAUUUAUACUGGAAAAUUCAUAUAUGGAAUGUUAAGAAGCCUUUUGUGUAAUUUUAUAUUAUUUUUAGAGAGAUUACUAAAAAUAAAACUAUUGUAAAGGACCACUCUUUCCCUCAAGAUGUUAAAAAAAUGUUACACCAGUAUGAAUAUUAUCUUGAUAACUGAAACCAAAUUCUCUUCUUGACAUAACCCUCUCCUUUUAUCUGGGCUUGGGACCAGCACCAGGAGCACAUUAGGACUGUGGGCCCCUUGUGGCAGGAUUAUUAUGUGUGUGUGUGUGUGUGUGUGUGUGUGUGUGUGUGUGUGUGUGUGUGUGUGUGUGUGUGUGUGUGUGUGUGUGUGUGUGUGUGUGUGUGCGUGUGUGUGUGUGUGUAUAUAUGAAGUGUAAUGGAGGUAUGUGUAAAGGUGUUUUGGAUUUUUUUUAGAAUUUUUUUAAAUAAAUUUUUGUUUGUAUCAUCAAUAAAUGUUUGUAUUUAUAAUAAAUAUAUAUUUAUUGUAUAAAUACAUUUGAGUGUGAUGUAAGAAGACAAAGUAAGGGUGGGCUAGCCGGAGCACCCGGAGAGAACCCACACAGGCACGGGAGAGUAUGGCAGCUCCAUGCAGAAAGGUCUCCUUCUACAAGGGAACAGCACUGACCACUGCUCCACCGUGCAGCCCCACUCUGUUUACCAGGAUCUAAUCAAUACCAAGGUAGGAAUCUACCUUAGAAAAAGACCCUGGUAUGGAGGCAGUACUUUUUUAUUUAAAGGGAACCAUAGAGUUUUAUGGAGGGUGAGGGCUAAAUAUUAUGGACUGGAUUAUGGAUUUAGUGAAUGGGUGUGGGGAGUUAAGGGUUAAAGGAAGGGUUAAGGGUAACGGUUAUAGGGAAGGGGGGUGGGGGUGUUGGGGGGUAAUUGUAAAGCGUGUAGGUGAUAAGGUUUGAGAUCUGGGGCUCAGUAAAUAUUUUUUCAGUUUUAAGUUUGUUUGGAGGACAGUUUCUUGAGGUUUAGCAGAAAUUAUUUUUCUGACUGAUGGCAUUGAAAGAGGUUGAAAAUUCUUUUCCUUAAAGAUUUAUUUUUUGGUUUUCUUUCUUGGGAUCUUUCAGUCUCCUGUUGCAGAUUUUUGAACUCCUCCAUAAGGCUCUCUGUUAAUCUUUUCUUCUCCUCCUCCAUCUCUGUCAGAGCCUUCUUAGCGUUUGCCACUGUCUCUUGAAGGCAGGACUUCUCUGUUUGCCACAGCUGCCUUUCACAAUGCAGAACCUCCUGAAGGUGUUUCAUAGCUGCUUCCAUAUCUCUAAGAGUGUUCUGCUGCUCUGUCAGGAGACUGGACUUUUCCUGGGCCCAGACCUGUGUUUGGUUCUUCACAUCUUGUUCCAUCUUGAGCAAAACAGCUUUUAUGUCAUUGGUUUCCUGCUCUUUCUGAGCUAAGCAGAUCUCAGCCUCCUUUGUUCUGGCUGUCUCAGCAAGCAGACUAAUUUCCAGAUCCAUGACUUUUCUUGCAGAAGCUUUCCCCUGCUCUAACUCAGCUUCCUGUAACUCCAACUGCUUUUUCAGCUGCUCACACUCAUCUCUUUGUUGUUGGUUGGACAUAAAAUGGGAUUUUUCUUCCUCCAACUGCUGCCGCUGUUCCUCCAGAUCUUUCUGCAUUUUUUCCAUUGCAGCCUUGAUUUCACUGGUUUCCUGCACUUGUUGGGCUAAGCAGAUCUCAGCCUCCUUUGCAUUUGCUGUCUCAGCAAGAACAGCUGCCUCCGUUUUCUGAGGCAAGACAGUGAGAUUCUUAAUUUGUUCUAAUAAUUUGGUGUUUUCUUGUUGAAGUGUUGCUACCCUCUCUCUUGUGAACCUUAACUUGAGCUCAGCGUCCCUUAACCAUUGAGCUGAUAGUUCAGUCUCCUCACUAAGUGCUGCGAUCUGCUCAUCUUUUAAGCUCAUGCAGAUCUCAGCUUCCUCCACACUUUGCUUGAGAGCAGUUACCGUGGACUCCAGCUGUCUAGCUUCCUCGUCGGUAUAUUUUGGCAUUGUUUCGUGCUCAGCAUGCGUCUUCUGGUUUGUUGAUAAUUUGAUGUUUUCUUGUUUAAGUGCUGCGAUCUCCUUAUCUUUUGAGCUCAUGCAGAUAGCAGCUACCUGCAACCUUUGCUUCAAAGCAGUUGCCGCAGUCUCCAGAUGCCAGGCUUUUUCGUUGGCAUCUCUACGCACUACCUCCAUGUUGUGAAGAUCAGCAGCUUGUCUCUGCAAUGCUGUGAUCAGCUCGUCUUUUGAGCUGCUGUGAUCAUCUCAUCUUUUGAGCGUAAGUAGGUCUCUGCUUCCUGCACCUUUUUCCUUUCAGCAGUUAGCUCCGACUCCAGCUGCCUAGCUUUCUCAUCAGUAUAUCCAAACCCUGCAUCCAUUUUCUGAGGCACAGCAACAUUUUUCUUAGUUGUUUCUGAUAACUUGAUGAUUUCUUGUUGCAGUGCUGUGAUCAUCUCAUCUUUUGAGCGUAAGUAGGUCUCUGCUUCCUGCACCUUUUUCCUUUCAGCAGUUAGCUCCGACUCCAGCUGCCUAGCUUUCUCAUCGGUAUAUCCAAACCCUGCAUCCAAAGACACAGCAACAUUUUUCUUAAUUGUUCCUGAUAACUUGAUGAUUUCUUGUAGCGAAGCUAUGAUCCUCAAAUCUUUUGAGCUUAAACAGAUCCCAGCCUUCUGACCCUUUUUCCUUUUAGGAGUUAGCUCAGACUCCAGCUGCCUAGCUUUCUCGUUGGUAUGUUGACGAGCUUCCUCUAAUUUGUUGAGCUCAGCAGUGAGAUCAUUGGUAUGUUGGGCUAAACUCCUGUUUUGAUGUUGAAGUUCUGUGAUCAACCAGUCUCUGGAGCUUAAGGCUCUGUGAAACUCAAUCUUAGAAAUCAUAUUACGUCCGGUCUUUUUGUCAGCUCCAUGUCCUCCAUGAACAGCUUUCUCACUUUGAAGUUGUGAAAGUGGAUUUCUUCCUGGAUUUUCAGGCUUUGCAGCUUUAGCUGGUCCCUCAACACGAGCUGGGGCUGGUUGCAAUGGCUUCACCACAGGCUUAGAAGCACAAACUUGACUCAAAGUGGGUCCCGCUGCUAUUUUUGGAGCAUUUUCUGGCUUUUUCUUACUUGUAAGAACUUGAGCCCAAGUCACAUUUCCAGAAGGGUUUGUAGCUGUGCUACCAGAUGUAACUCCCAUAGUAUUACCUGAUUUAGAUAUGGUUGACAUGGCGGCUAUAACGUUUAAUUCACCUGAUUUGCAAAUGAAAAAGGACGAAUUGGUCAAUUCCAGCCUUAGUUGCUGAUUCAAGUCAGCCUCCUAAGGAAAACAAUAAAAUUGUUGGUUGGAUUAAAACACAAAGCUUUGUUUUAAACUAAAAGCUUAUUUUUCUGAUAACUGGGCAGAUUUGUUCUGUGGAAAAGUCUUUACUUUUCUAAUUACAAGGAGUUAACUCAAGAGCUGCACACCUUACAGGAGAAUUCCGGAAAUUGAAUGCUUGGUAGUAUUCUGAUGUCUGUGAUGAUGUCAUCAGAAUUCUAAACUAUCUGGGCGGGAACUAUAAACUCCGCCCACAUAAGUCAAGCCUGGCUGUAGGUUCUACAUACUCUGAAAAAAUAAUUCAACAGUUUUUGGCUUUUCCUUAAUCAUAUUUAGUUACUUUAACUUUUUUUAUUAUUAUUUUAGCAGGGUAGGACAUAAAACAA